rnacentral:lncRNA from 1 species
UUCUGUGCCUCAGAAGGAAGAUGCUCAACUCCUCUUCCAUUCCUUUAGCAGGGUCUGGGAAGCUGUUCUGAGGCUGCAGCUAGGUAGCAGAAGAUGGGGAACUGCCUACACAGAAACACCUAUAAGCAAAUUGCUUAUACAUUCUAACUCCACUUCUCUCAGCAAUAAACACAACACAACAUCCUGCCUCCAUAGAUGCCAAAGAAGAAGAUGUGGGAAUUUCAGCACCCUGCAGUUCAGCUUGAUGUUGCUGACUUCACUGUAGUAUUAUUUCACACAGUAAUGUUUGCAAAUAAAGUCUUAGAUAUUUUCAAAAACUUGGACACUUCCUAAUGACAGAAUUCAG